ensembl:lncRNA
GACAUUUGAGUUAAUUGCCACUAGGUGGCACCAUUAUGAAAUGUAAAACUCAUUUCAGAGUGGACGUUGCAUGCUGGGUGCGGUGGCGCGCGCCUGUAAUCCACGUCACUGGGAGGCUGCGGCUGGUGGAGCUCUUGAGCUCAGGGGUUCUGGACUACCGUGGGCUUUGUUGAUCGGGUGUCCGCGCUAAGAUCGGUGUUUCUAAGGGAGCUCUGAAAUACCAGGUCGUCUAAGGAGGGGUGAACCGGCCCAGGUCGGGAACGGAGCAGGUCAAAGCCCCCGUACCGAUCAGUAGUGGGAUAGCACCUGUGAAUAGACGCGGUAGUGCAGCCUGGGUGAUACGAUGUGAC